rnacentral:rRNA from 1 species
GUGACGAGUGGCGGACGGGUGAGUAAUGUCUGGGGAUCUGCCCGAUGGAGGGGGAUAACCACUGGAAACGGUGGCUAAUACCGCAUAACGUCGCAAGACCAAAGUGGGGGACCUUCGGGCCUCACACCAUCGGAUGAACCCAGAUGGGAUUAGCUAGUAGGUGGGGUAACGGCUCACCUAGGCGACGAUCCCUAGCUGGUCUGAGAGGAUGACCAGCCACACUGGAACUGAGACACGGUCCAGACUCCUACGGGAGGCAGCAGUGGGGAAUAUUGCACAAUGGGCGCAAGCCUGAUGCAGCCAUGCCGCGUGUAUGAAGAAGGCCUUCGGGUUGUAAAGUACUUUCAGCGGGGAGGAAGGGGACGAGGUUAAUAACCUCGUUCAUUGACGUUACCCGCAGAAGAAGCACCGGCUAACUCCGUGCCAGCAGCCGCGGUAAUACGGAGGGUGCAAGCGUUAAUCGGAAUUACUGGGCGUAAAGCGCACGCAGGCGGUCUGUUAAGUCAGAUGUGAAAUCCCCGGGCUUAACCUGGGAACUGCAUUUGAAACUGGCAGGCUUGAGUCUUGUAGAGGGGGGUAGAAUUCCAGGUGUAGCGGUGAAAUGCGUAGAGAUCUGGAGGAAUACCGGUGGCGAAGGCGGCCCCCUGGACAAAGACUGACGCUCAGGUGCGAAAGCGUGGGGAGCAAACAGGAUUAGA